rnacentral:rRNA from 1 species
CCUACGGGUGGCUGCAGUGGGGAAUAUUGGACAAUGGGGGCAACCCUGAUCCAGCCAUGCCGCGGGUGUGAAGAAGGCCCUCGGGUUGUAAAGCACUUUCAGUGAGGAAGAACGCCUGGUGGUUAAUACCCAUCAGGAAAGACAUCACUCACAGAAGAAGCACCGGCUAACUCCGUGCCAGCAGCCGCGGUAAUACGGAGGGUGCGAGCGUUAAUCGGAAUUACUGGGCGUAAAGCGCGCGUAGGUGGCUUGAUAAGCCGGUUGUGAAAGCCCCGGGCUCAACCUGGGAACGGCAUCCGGAACUGUCAAGCUAGAGUGCAGGAGAGGAAGGUAGAAUUCCCGGUGUAGCGGUGAAAUGCGUAGAGAUCGGGAGGAAUACCAGUGGCGAAGGCGGCCUUCUGGACUGACACUGACACUGAGGUGCGAAAGCGUGGGUAGCAAACAGGAUUAGAUACCCUAGUAGUC